rnacentral:rRNA from 1 species
GACGAACGCUGGCGGCGUGCCUAAUACAUGCAAGUCGAGCGAGCGGAACUAGCGGAUUUACUUCGGUAAUGACGUUAGGACAGCGAGCGGCGGAUGGGUGAGUAACCCGUGGGGAACCUGCCCCAUAGUCUGGGAUACCACUUGGAAACAGGUGCUAAUACCGGAUAAGAAAGCAGAUCACAUGAUCAGCUUUUAAGAGGCGACGUAAGCUGUCGCUAUGGGAUGGCUCCGCGGUGAAUUAGCUAGUUGGUAAGGUAAAGGCUUACCAAGGCGAUGAUGCAUAGCCGAGUUGAGAGACUGAUCGGCCACAUUGGGACUGAGACACGGCCCAAACUCCUACGGGAGGCAGCAGUAGGGAAUCUUCCACAAUGGACGCAAGUCUGAUGGAGCAACGCCGCGUGAGUGAAGAAGGUUUUCGGAUCGUAAAGCUCUGUUGUUGGUGAAGAAGGAUAGAGGUAGUAACUGGCCUUUAUUUGACGGUAAUCAACCAGAAAGUAACGGCUAACUACGUG